rnacentral:ncRNA from 1 species
UGCGAACGAUGCGGGAGCUUCCACCCGAGGAGGCUGAGAGGGCGGCUGGGCACAAGCCCGGCGCCGCCGACCGCCUGAACCUGUCCGGGUAAUUCCGGCGUAGGGAGUGAUGGCCGUGACGCG